GCUUCCUCAGAAAUAGAAGCCUCCUGACUCUCAAGGCAACCUAACUCUGAAAAGAUAUCCAGUCCACAUUCCAAAAGAACCCUCAAGCAGACUAACGUUCAAGGUGUCCUCUACUGUCUUCUACCUCCACGAUAACAACACACGACCUUUCUGUCAUUAAGCCUUUACAACUCUCCAAAAGCACCUCAAAUCUUGCUAGUCCUUUUACCACCUCAACUGACAAGCAAUGCGACUGGCACAAAAGGCCAGCCGUCCCAAUGCUCUUGUCUUAAAAACUCCAGCACUUAAAAGAAAAAUCUUACACUGGGCGCUCAUCCGGCCCUCUGCUGCCCUUCCUCAAUUUCAUCCCAGCUGGAAAGCUUCAGCCUGGGAGCCCCUCUAUCUGGGAACAAAGCAGUGCGGGCGAUAGCACCCGCGACAGUGCGGCCCCGCGCACAAAAAGAGAAACUACCAACUUCAGAGCGCAGGGACAUCCUCAAUUAAAGAAGCGCCCCUUCCCAGGGAGAGAAGAAAGAGGCGGAGCAGACACAAGGGGUACCCGGGGCCCGGGAGGGGAGCCCCGUGCUCGGCCCGGCCCCCGCCCCCAGGCCCGCUUCCCCGCCUUCUCUGCCUCUGGUUCGCUGCCCCGGGCAGAGCGGCCGGUUACCUUGAUGCGCUCCCGGCAUUGGGACGGGGUCCGCUCGUAGCCCAGCUCGGCCAGGGCCCGGGACACGCGCUCGUACAUGGCCGGCCCAGGGGCCUUGCUGCCGAAUACCGUGCCGGCUCCCUCCAGCUGCUGGUACCGCGCCUCCACCAGCCGCUCGUUGCCCCACACAGCGAUGAGCGCGUUCGUCUCUGCCGGCGUCCACGACAUGCCCCGGCAGGCGGCGGCAGCGGCCG
rnacentral:lncRNA from 1 species